AUGGCGGGCGAGAAGGGUCUGGUGCUGCUGAACUUCUGGGUGAGCCCGUUCGGGCAGCGCUGCCUCAUCGCCCUACGAGUACGUCGAAGAGAACCUCAUGGCCGGCAAGAGCGACCGCCUCCUCCGCUCCAACCCGGUCCACAAGAAGGUCCCGGUGCUCCUCCACGACGGCCGCCCCGUGUACGAGUCCCUCAUCAUCCUCAACUACCUCGACGACGCCUUCCCGGACACCCCCUCCCUCCUCCCCUCCGACCCCUACGAGCGCUCGCAGGCUCGCUUCUGGGCCGACUACGUCGACAAGAAGGUCUACGACUGCGGCACCCGGCUCUGGAAGCUCAAGGGCGAGCCGCACGCGCAGGCGCGGGCCGAGAUGCUGGAAAUCCUCAAGAAUCUGGACGGGGCGCUCGGGGACAAGCUCUUCUUCGGCGGCGACGUCUUCGGGUUCGUGGACGCCGCGUUCGCGCCCUUCACCUCGUGGUUCCACAGCUACGAGAAGUACGGCGAGUUCAGCGUCGCCGAGGUGGCGCCGAGGGUCGCGGCGUGGGCAAAGCGGUGCGGCGAGCGGGAGAGCGUCGCCAAGAGCCUCUACUCGCCGGACAAGAUUUACGAGUUCAUCGGCGUGCUCAAGAAGAUGCACGGCGUCGAGUAAGUCGGCCGGCCGGUCGGAGAAGCAAUAAGUUCGAUCCACUGAAAAAAAAAUAGGGCGCUAUAGCCUAUUGAGAAUUGUCUCGUUAAAUAAAACGGUGUACAAUGUCUGGCUAAUAGCACGCUAUAGCGUGAUAUAGCACGCUAAUAGUAUAUUUUGAGGUUGAUGCUAUUUUUCUGUAGCGCGCUAUUUUUUCAUUGGUUCGAUCGUGUGUACGAUUAUUGGUGGUACGUAGUACUGUAGUUGUUCGUUUGGUCGUGUACUUGUGACGUGUGUGUGUCAAUGGUAGUCUUCUUCAGUGGGGGCAGCACCGAGUUGCCACCUGCCAUUCUAUUCCAUGUGAAGAAUAAUUUAAUAAAGGGUAUAUUUGGACUUC